CCUCCCGGGGCUGCCGACGCGGCCCUGCCCCGCCGCCCCUUUGUGCCCGGCGCGAUGCUGCGGGGGGGGGCCCGGGGGCAGCGGCAGGUUUAAAUCUCCAGACGGGUUGAAGAAGUCGCCCAAAAGGAACCACUUCGCAAAUUUUGUUUCCUCCUUUGAAAUCCCACUGGACGUGGAGCAGAUCUUCACUUGAAGACGGCGAAGGACAGUUCGUGGAAGGUAAGAGAGCCUCUUCCCCAGCACUUAUACCCUGCCCACGUGUGCUGUGAGUACCUGGGUGUUUGCUCAGGCCCGCAAAGCCAGCACACCCGCGCUGAGAAGUGAUAAACAGGAGACUGUCGAGUUGUUGCUGGACACGGUGUUCAUAUGGGGAAGCACAGGAUUUUUUAAGCAAAGAAAUUAGCUGUUUUUACACACUGAGAUCCUUCUUAAGCUAAUGAAUUCCUCCCCUCCAAAAAACGGGAUGGCCUUUCUUUUCUCAAUCAGGACAUAGCUUAAGAAAACAGCAGAUGAAGACUACUGUGUAAAAGUUUCUGUUCUGACUCUUCUCUACGGUGAAAGUAGCGUGCCUAACUUAAUAUGUAUGUUGUUUCCAUCGAAGAUGUUAGUAUUUGUUUUGGUAUGAAUUGGGGCUAAAAAGAUCCUGGCAUCUUCUUAAUUGCAUCUUUUCCAAAUGUGUUAUUGUUAUUUUGUGGCAUGGUUCUUGCCAGAAGUGAAAUAAAGUUACUCUUACUAGUUUUGAAGAUAAACUAUGUCCAGCCACCAGAGGUUUUCUCCUUCCUACAGGCUUAAUGAAGUGAAAGCAAGAGAUCCUGUGGAGGAGACAAGGGUGGGAGAGAUAUGGGAUCAUAAAAUUUGGCAGAGCAAGUGAUUGAGUGCAGUGUCUUUGUUAGUUUGUCAGCA